rnacentral:rRNA from 1 species
GAGUCUGCAACUCGACUCCAUGAAGUCGGAAUCGCUAGUAAUCGUGGAUCAGAAUGCCACGGUGAAUACGUUCCCGGGCCUUGUACACACCGCCCGUCACACCAUGGGAGUGGGCUGCAAAAGAAGUAGGUAGUUUAACCUUCGGGGGGACGCUUACCACUUUGUGGUUCAUGACUGGGGUGAAGUCGUAACAAGGUAGCGCUAGGGGAACCUGGCGCUGGAUCACCUCCUUAAACGAUGAU